rnacentral:misc_RNA from 1 species
GAUGAAGAACGCAGCGAAAUGCGAUAAGUAAUGUGAAUUGCAGAAUUCAGUGAAUCAUCGAAUCUUUGAACGCACCUUGCACCCUUUGGCAUUCCGAAGGGUAUGCUCGUUUGAGUGUCAUUGUACUCUCACACUUCCGAUCUUCGGAUUGGGAGCGGUGGACUUGGGUGUUGCUGCUUACUGUGGCUCACCUCAAAUCGAUUCGUGCACCUCUUGGUUGGACAUAGUACGGCGUGAUAAGUGUCUUCGCCGGCACCUCAGUAGAGGGUGGCUGAUCGGGAGCUCUGUGCUUCAAACCGUCCUCGGACAACAACUGACAACUUGACCUCAAAUCGAGUAGGACUACCCGCUGAACUUAAGCAUAUCAAUAAGCGGAGGA